rnacentral:lncRNA from 1 species
CAAUUACAGGUGUUACAAUAACUAUAGUCCUGGAAAAAGGGAGGGUGUUAUAGUAUCCUCUGUCAUAUUUACAAUUGUUCUCGUUUGUUUAAGUUCGAAUUAAACCUCCACCAUACUACAGAUUUUAAAUAAAUGCCGGAUCUCGUUGAGUAGAUCAAAACGUUCAUUAAUAUAAACGAGUUUCUCAAUUUACAUUUGUGAUGAAGAGUUAGCCGUUUCAUUAUCAGACGUGAAGUUUCUUGAUUUUUCCAGGCUGUUGCAUCUUUCAGAUUAAUCUGAUAAGUAGUGCAAGGCUUCUGAUUUUCAUGUUUGCCAGGAGGCCAAUCGUAUAAAGAAAGUUGUUGAUCCAAAAUUACAGUAUGACAUGUCUUUUGAGGUAUGCUAUUCUUGCCAAUUUAGUGAGAACUUCCAUCAAUGGAAUAAACAGCAUUUUUGAGGAUGUGAUUUUUGAAUAUAAACAGUAUUGUUUCAUCCAAGCUUAAGGGAUGCAAAGAUCACUUCUGGAGAUGAAUAUAUCGUGUUCUUGUCAUGUUGUGAAAAGGUUAGAUUUUGUACCGAAAGUUCAAAACAAGAAGUAACUUCAAUAAAACUUUAAACAUUUUUGGCAAUAAAAGUAAAUUUUAAGUUUAGCUAAACAUGCUCUGGAUACAUUGCAUUUGCACACAAGUUUAUUGCCAAUUCAGAAGGAUUUCCCUUUGUUUUAAGCAUACGAUUAUUUAUUUAUUUAUUUUAUAUAUAUUUAGCUAUACAAUCUUGAAUUGAUCACUACAUGAUUCGAUAUAUCAACUUGUAUUGCCCCCCCUUCUUUGUGGAGGUGUAUGAUUUGAACUGCAAAUGCUGUUAACAAAUUUCAACGUUAAGCAUUGUGUUAGUUUCCUCGUUUGUGUUUUAUUACUUGUUUGGUUGGUUUCCAAAAUAUUUUAAAUAAACAAUUACAAUCGAAAGUAAUGUCUUCUAGCUUGUGACUUGAUGAUACAUGUUCUUUGAUUAGGACUGAGUAUUUAGACCGCUAAACUGACAAAACCGACCAACGCACUAAGUUUAGUUUGGUGCCUAUAUUUGGGUCGGUUUGGGUUAGAGAUUGAAGAAACCGAAAUGUUCAUUUCAGUUACGAGUUGGCUCGUGAUUCAUGAUUGUUAUUCUUUACGUAUAUACAUGUUUCAUACUAUCAAAAUAAUUGCACAAUCAAGAAGUUCCACCGUGCAAAAAAUCGAUACCUUUGGCAACACAAAGGUUAGUACUUAGUUUAAAUCGACUCACAUACUAGGGUUACUCCAACACCACAAAGUUUAAUCAACAGUAUCACUGACGUUGCCCAUAAAUGCAUAUCCCACAAAGAACCUUCUUGCAUCUAUAUUGAGAAAAUAUUGAAGAAAAUCAGUCUGUGCAGAUUUCUGAGGAACAGCUACAUGAUGCAGUUCCCUAUAUAUCAGUUUGACUUAGCUUUGUAUGGAAAACCAGGCUUUGAUGUAUAAGGAAAAUUAAGCAGGCUUGCCAUAUUUGAAGUCUAUGAUGGGGACUACAGGGAAAUAGACAGCUGUAGGCUAUUGUUUUGUUUUAUGAUCUGUACAGAUUUGUAUUUUUUGUUAACC